AAAGCCUAACCCUAAUCCUUCUCCCUCUUGAGCCCUGCAGCUCAUAAGCCCUAAAAGCCUAGGUGAUCAAUAACCCUAGACCUUCCACAAAUACAACAAACUCUUGGAGAAGGACAUCCUCCUAGAUCAACUAAAGCCUUAGAAGCAAAUUUCUAAGCAGCACUUUCUUCUGAAUUCAAAAUAAUUUUGGAUAAGCAAAAACUCAAAGGUGAAGGAACAAAGACUCGCAUCUUUCAUCCGCCUGAACUCCAAGUGCCGGGCC
rnacentral:lncRNA from 1 species